ensembl:snoRNA SNORD127 small nucleolar RNA, C/D box 127
CGGCAACGGUGAUGACACUGUGACCCUGCAGGGCCCUGGCUGCUCCGUGGAGACACCAGUCCCUCUAACCUGAUGUUGCUG